GACGAACGCUGGCGGCGUGCUUAACACAUGCAAGUCGAACGGAAAGGCCCUGCUUUUGUGGGGUGCUCGAGUGGCGAACGGGUGAGUAAAACGUGAGUAACCUGCCCUUGACUUUGGGAUAACUUCAGGAAACUGGGGCUAAUACCGGAUAGGAGCUCCUGCUGCAUGGUGGGGGUUGGAAAGAUUCGUAGGUUUGGGAUGGACACGCGGCUUAUCAGCUUGUUGGCGGGGUGGUGGGUUACCAAGGCUUUGACGGGUAGCCGGACUGAGAGGGUGACCGGCCACAUUGGGACUGAGAUAGGGCCCAGACGCCUACGGGAGGCAGCAGUGAGGAUUAUUGCACAAUGGGCGGAAGCAGGAUGGAGCGACGCCGCGUCCUGGAUGACGGUCUGCGGGUUGUAACCCGCGUUCGCCUGUGACGAAGCGUGAGUGACGGUAAUGGGUAAAGAAGCACCGGCUAACUACGUG
rnacentral:rRNA from 1 species